rnacentral:snRNA from 1 species
AUACCUUUCUCGACCUUUUGGCUAAGAUCAAGUAUAAUAUCUGUUCUUAUCAGUGUAAUAUCUGAUAACCUGAGCCUACGGGUUCAGGGGGUGAGCUUUAUGUUUGUCCUGAUAUUAAUUUUUAAGGGAAAGGACCCAUGGUAGCUUGCUACUUAGGGUUCCAUUUGUGUCAUCCUUGCUUACACUUCGGUGAGGGUUUGGCACACCCACA